GGACCGGUAGUUCAGUUGGUUAGAAUGCCGGCCUGUCACGCCGGAGGUCGCG
rnacentral:tRNA from 1 species